rnacentral:lncRNA from 1 species
CGCUUUCUUCUUCGCCGGGACUGGCACUCUUCAGCCUCUUUUAGGAGCCUAACAGAUGGAACAAUUCGUGGUCACGAAACUCCACAACUAAUCCCAAAAUCCACGAAAACAGUAAUCUAUCAGAGAAAACCAUUGCGCAAAACAAAUUCAAAGGCGAACUCAAUGAGACAAGAAGAGAGGGAGAUUUGGCAUACCAUUUCUCCCCGUGAAUUCCGGUUCGGAGCUUAGGUCAAGCCUUAAAGGUCGAGACUCAAAUCUGUUAUAAGAUAGAAGGAAUUGGUUUUUCGGCUUGUGGAUUUGUAAUACACCAAUUUCGAUUCGCAUUUAAUAGAAUACUGCAAAUCUCGAUUUAUACUCCCUGGUUGGUAAUUGACUUUUUCUUUGGUUCGAUGAAGGGAGCGUUCUCUCUGAUAACGUUAUCAAAAACUCCCCGCUAGGUAAAUAAGACAUGGAGGCAACCUCGACUUCUUCCACACGAAUUCUCUUUGUUCAUCUAUUCUCUUACAAGCUUCAGAACAAACUACAUUAUCGAACCAAAGAAACAAAACAAAGCAAAACCAAAGCAAAGCAGAGAUGGCAUUUGCAAACCAAGAAACGACGGAA